GAUAAAGUGGCCGAUAAUAAGCGAUAAAUUGUAAAUUUAUUUAUGAGAAUUCUCCUUUAUCA
rnacentral:tRNA from 1 species